CAAUAGCGUAUAUUAAAGUUGUUGCGGUUAAAAAGCUCGUAGUUGGAUUUCUGCUGAGAACGACCGGUCCGCCCUUUGGGUGUGUAUCUGGCUCUUUCUUGGCAUCUUCUUGGUGAACGUUGCUGCACUUGACUGUGUGGAGCGCUACCCAGGACUUUUACUUUGAGGAAAUUAGAGUGUUUCAAGCAGGCAUACGCCUUGAAUACAUUAGCAUGGAAUAAUAAGAUAGGACCUUGGUUCUAUUUUGUUGGUUUCUAGAGCUGAGGUAAUGAUUAAUAGGGAUAGUUGGGGGCAUUAGUAUUUAAUUGUCAGAGGUGAAAUUCUUGGAUUUAUGAAAGACUAACAUCUGCGAAAGCAUUUGCCAAGGAUGUUUUCAUUAA
rnacentral:rRNA from 1 species